CCUACGGGUGGCAGCAGUGAGGAAUAUUGGUCAAUGGACGAGAGUCUGAACCAGCCAAGUAGCGUGAAGGAUGACUGCCCUAUGGGUUGUAAACUUCUUUUAUAUGGGAAUAAAAUGUUCCACGUGUGGGAUUUUGUAUGUACCAUAUGAAUAAGGAUCGGCUAACUCCGUGCCAGCAGCCGCGGUAAUACGGAGGAUCCGAGCGUUAUCCGGAUUUAUUGGGUUUAAAGGGAGCGUAGGUGGAUUGUUAAGUCAGUUGUGAAAGUUUGCGGCUCAACCAUAAAAUUGCAGUUGAAACUGGCAGUCUUGAGUACAGUAGAGGUGGGCGGAAGUCGUGGUGUAGCGGUGAAAUGCUUAGAUAUCACGAAGAACUCCGAUUGCGAAGGCAGUUCACUGGACUGCAACUGACACUGAGGCUCGAAAGUGUGGGUAUCAAACAGGAUUAGAUACCCCUGUAGUC
rnacentral:rRNA from 1 species